GACGAAUAGGACAAGUGUUAUUCUUCGUGAUUGGGCGUAAAGGGUGCGUAGACAGUUUUUUAAACUUUCUUUAGAAAUUCCAUAUUUGUAAUAUGGUAAUAAUUAACAGAUUAUUUUACUAGAGUUUCUUUGAAGUUAGUGGAACUUGACAAAUAUAGUUUUACAUAUAUUGGAUAUUGAAGGGACCACCGAAAGUGUAGACAACUAACUAUGGGAGACUAA
rnacentral:rRNA from 1 species